ACAUUGCAAUCUGGUGGUGGGCUCGCUAAAGCGGCCUUGACCAGUCAUGCGUGAUUGAGACGAUAAGCCGCCCGGAAGUUUCGAGGCGGCUUUUUU
rnacentral:ncRNA from 3 species